GAUGAAUGCUAGCGGCAGGCUUAAUACAUGCAAGUCGAACGGUAAGGUCUCUUCGGAGAUACACGAGUGGCGCGCGGGUGCGUAACGCGUAUGCAACCUACCUUUAACUGGGAAAUAGCCCCGAGAAAUCGGGAUUAAUGUCCCAUAUUAUUCUUUGAAUACCUAUUCGAGGAAUGAAAGCUCCGGCGGUUAUUGAUGGGCAUGCGUGACAUUAGCUAGUUGGUGAGGUAACGGCUCACCAAGGCAACGAUGUCUAGGGGUCCUGAGAGGGUUAACCCCCACACUGGUACUGAGACACGGACCAGACUCCUACGGGAGGCAGCAGUAAGGAAUAUUGGGCAAUGGACGCAAGUCUGACCCAGCCAUGCCGCGUGAAGGAUGAAUGUCCUAUGGAUUGUAAACUUCUUUUAUGCAGGAAAAAUAUCCCGGUCGUGAACCGGGACUGAUGGUACUGUAUGAAUAAGCAUCGGCUAACUCCGUGCCAGCCGCCGCAGUAA
rnacentral:rRNA from 1 species